ACCCUAUAGAGUUUUAUAAAUAAAUUAAUUGAGAUUAUUUAUUAAAUAAAAUUAAAAUUAAGUUGUUUAUUAUAUUGGGGUGAUAGAAAAAUGUAAUUAACUUUUUUUUUUAUAUGAAAACAUUUAUAAGUGAUUAUAUGAUCCAAUAUUAUUGAUUAUAAGAAAAAAUUACCUUAGGGAUAACAGCGUAAUUUUUUUUUUUAGUUCA
rnacentral:rRNA from 1 species